rnacentral:lncRNA from 1 species
UUACCAUUGCCAGGGCGUAGUCAAAGGCUCCUGGACUUUGCUAUACCUGCCAGGGCGUAGUCAAAGGCUCCUGGACUUCACUAUACCUGCCAGGGCGUAGUCAAAGGCUCCUGGACUUCCUGUCUGAGACUAUUGGAUCAUUCAGCAUUCACUCACAUCACCAAAUAACGAUGCAAUGCAACAUAUUCGUGAAUACUAAUGCACUCAACCUAUGGCAUAAACAUGAUGCAUGAGAUAUGCUAAAAGCAGUUUUAAUGCACUCAACCUAUGGCAUAAACAUGAUGCAUGAG